GUGAAUCAUCGAAUUUUUGAACGCAAAUUGCACUCUCUUCGGAGAGUAUGCCUGUUUGAGGGUCAGCCUAAAAAAAAUCGACAUAGUCGCUGUUUCGCGGUGACAUUCGUCGGAAAUUGGGUCAUCUUAAACCUUUGGGUUUUAUACGGGGUAAAAUUUUCUCUUCAAUUCUACAAACGCUUCUCU
rnacentral:misc_RNA from 1 species